rnacentral:lncRNA from 1 species
CUACAGGAGCCGAGGGCGUGAUAGGGCGUGGUCCCGCGUGUUUUGAGUUGUUGUCGUUGAAGUGAGGGCGUGUCAGUGUUAGUUCCUUGUUCAGCGCUGUGAAUUGUUCAGAUUUGUGACGAGGUCCCCCCACCCAGAAGAAACAGCGCUCCAUAAAAAACCGGGUUCAACAGCGCUCCGGCCAGACCCACCGCAGUCCCCGGAGAGAUGAAGCCGACUUAUGUUUUCCUGUUGGUGCUGGUCUUGGCUGUGAUCGUGUUCCUCAUCGUGUUCCUCGUCAUGAGGUCUCAGUGCCCCGAGGAAGAGCCUGAAGACGGCUGGCAGUGGUGGUGCCAGCCGUCGACGGGGAAUAGUGGCCACGGGUCGCACCACACCACCAACAUUUACAAAAACAAAUACAAGUACAAAAACAAAUAUGCUAAUGAUGGAUACUAAUUGCCGGGAGACCAGCAAGCACAUUAUACAGGAAAACAAAUAACAUGCUACAAGAAAACCACUAAAAAGCAAACUUCAGAGCCCCAGGAAGGGGAAUUUAUAGAUAUGCAACGUACCUUGCAUUCUUCCAAAUAUACUGGUUGCAUGUUCAACAGUCAGUGUACAGGCUUUGUGCGGACUCUAUUCUAUAUGCAUCCUGUUAUCUGUAUAAUGGUAUGUUCAAACGUGCAUUUAUAGUCUAGUCAAUUUUAUGUGUGCAUGUAUGAUUGAUGGGUUAAUUCUCAAUAUACUUAAAACUUCGAUAGAAGCACAUAUUACAUAAUUUCACAUACACAUGAAUAAGCAUAUUGUAAUUAUUUCACAUUAUACAAAAAAUAACUCAAUUUACACUUUCGAAAAUCUCAUGUAAGUUGAGCGUAUACUCAUUUAAUUUGCAAUUUGCAGAAGUCUACCCAUUGCAUCUUAUAGGUAUUAAGCCUAUUUAUAUAGACAUUUCUAUAUAAAUACAAGAUUCUAUCAGAAACACUUUCUAGUCAUUUUUAAAAUUUAUUCAUCAUCAUUUUUUGGGCUAAUUGUCAUUUAUAAUUUUAUUAAUUCGUCUUUUCAAUGUAUUUAUUACUUGCCAAAGGAUAAUAAGUUUCCAAGAAUAGUGUCUAAUUGUCGCCUUCUUGUUCCGCCUGGCAGGCACACACGCGUCCACUUGCAUUCUAAAUCGGUGACUAUUUAGCAUUAGAAAUAGAAUUAGAAACCGUUAAAUAAUCCGCUUACAUGUUUAUAACAUGCAAGCGGUCAAUGAACAAACAAUGAACAUAACAUUGGAUUUAUCUAUAUUUUGAAUUAGAAACGGAUUAUAUUAGCUUCUUUUAUAUAUAUGCUUAUUUCUAAUCUGCUUCAAAAGCUUUUGAUAUAUACACACACACACAAAAAAAACAGUAAAUUCUGUAUAGCAAUUUAUAUAGACAUAGUUCAUGGCUCUUUUAGUAUUUGGAAAUGUGACGCCAUUUUUUGCUAUCUAUUUUUGUCAUCUGAUUGUCCAAUAAAUAUUUUCUGGAUUUUAAAGGGUGUAUUUCGAACCUGCAAUAAAGCCUUACGACAUAAAUAAAAUAAAAUAAAAAGAAAAAGGAAAAGGAAGCAUAAGCAUAAGAAUGAUAAUUUCCUUUAUAUAAUGAAGAGGUCGAUUACAAUAUAAUUAUUUCUUUAAAAUCUUAUUUCCAAUCCUAGCUAAGAGAAUAUAGGCAAAUUUUGAUAGCACUGAAGACGAUGGAAUAAUGGUUAACAACAACAAUGAUAAUCAUAACGAAGAUGGUGAUUGUCAUAAUUAUUGCAAAUAAUGAGCAUGAAAAUUGCGUGAUAAUUGUAAUAACGAUAAUAAUAAUUACCGUUGUUGUAAUUAUAAUAAUCCUAAUAACUAUGGUGACUGUAGUAACGAUAAUGAUAAUCAACAUGACCAUUGUAAUAAAUGAUAAUAAUGAC